rnacentral:rRNA from 1 species
UACGAAGGGGGCUAGCGUUGCUCGGAAUCACUGGGCGUAAAGCGCACGUAGGCGGCUUCUUAAGUCAGGGGUGAAAUCCUGGAGCUCAACUCCAGAACUGCCUUUGAUACUGAGGAGCUUGAGUCCGGGAGAGGUGAGUGGAACUGCGAGUGUAGAGGUGAAAUUCGUAGAUAUUCGCAAGAACACCAGUGGCGAAGGCGGCUCACUGGCCCGGUACUGACGCUGAGGUGCGAAAGCGUGGGGAGCAAACAGGG